rnacentral:rRNA from 1 species
GAGGUAAAAGCUCACCAAGGCGAUGACGGGUAGCUGGUCUGAGAGGACGACCAGCCACACUGGAACUGAGACACGGUCCAGACACCUACGGGUGGCAGCAGUCGAGAAUUUUUCUCAAUGGGCGCAAGCCUGAAGGAGCGACGCCGCGUGGAGGAUGAAGGUCUACGGAACGUAAACUCCUGUCAUUUGGGAACAAACCUUCCAGUUAACUGCUGGAAGACUGAUAGUACCAGAAGAGGAAGGGACGGGUAACUCUGUGCCAGCAGCCGCGGUAAUACAGAGGUCUCAACCGUUGUUCGGAUUCAUUGGGCGUAAAGGGUGCGUAGGCGGUCGCGCAAGUCGGAUGUGAAAUCUCGGGGCUCAACCCUGAAACUGCAUUCGAUACUGCGUGGCUAGAGUGCUGGAGGGGAGACUGGAAUUUACGGUGUAGCAGUGAAAUGCGUAGAUAUCGUAAGGAAGACCAGUGGCGAAGGCGAGUCUCUGGACAGCAACUGACGCUGAGGCACGAAGGGCAGGGGAGCAAACGGGAUUAGAUACCCCGGUAG